UGAGUAACCUGCCCUUCACUCUGGGAUAACUCCGGGAAACCGGGGCUAAUACUGGAUACGACUCGAACAGGCAUCUGUUUCGGGUGGAAAGAUUUAUUGGUGGAGGAUGGACUCGCGGCCUAUCAGCUUGUUGGUGAGGUAAUGGCUCACCAAGGCGACGACGGGUAGCCGGCCUGAGAGGGCGAUCGGCCACACUGGGACUGAGACACGGCCCAGACUCCUACGGGGAGGCA
rnacentral:rRNA from 1 species